AUUUAACGCUGGCGGGAUGCCGAACACAUGUAAGUCGGACGAGUGGCGGACGGGGGAGUAAUGUCUGGGACACUGCCCGAUGGAGGGGGAUAACUACCGGAUACGGUAGCUGAUACCGCAUACCAUCGGAUGUGCCCAGAUUGGAUUAGCGCGUAGGUGGGGUAAUGGAUCACCUAGACAACGAUCCCUAGCUGGGCUGAGAGGAUGACCAGCCAAACUGGAAUGGAGACACGGGCCAGACUCCUACGUGAGGCACAAGUGGGGAAUAUUGGACAAUGGUCGCAAGCCUGAUGGAGCCAUGCCGCGUGUAUGAAGAAGGCCUUCGGGUUGUAAAGGACUUUCAGCGAGGAGGCGUUUCUCGCAGAAGAAGCACCGGCUUACUCCGUGCCAGCCGCCGCGGUAAUAC
rnacentral:rRNA from 1 species